UACCAGCACCCCGAGUGGUCGGGACGAUUAUUGGGACUAAAGCAUCCGUAGCCGGUCAUGCAAGUCUUCCGUUAAAUCCAGCCGCUCAACGGUUGGGCUGCGGAGGAUACUACGUGGCUAGGAGGCGGGAGAGGCAAGCGGUACUCAGUGGGUAGGGGUAAAAUCCUUUGAUCCAUUGAAGACCACCAGUGGCGAAGGCGGCUUGCCAGAACGCGCUCGACGGUGAGGGAUGAAAGCUGGGGGAGCAAACCGG
rnacentral:rRNA from 1 species